rnacentral:rRNA from 1 species
CGUUUGCGACGCCCAACACACAAAACAAGCGGUGAGUGCUUUGGGGUGGGGUGACUGCGUACCUUUUGUAUAAUGGGUCAGCGACUUAUAUUCUGUAGCAAGGUUAACCGUAUAGGGGAGCCGAAGGGAAACCGAGUCUUAACUGGGCGUUAAGUUGCAGGGUAUAGACCCGAAACCCGGUGAUCUAGCCAUGGGCAGGUUGAAGGUUGGGUAACACUAACUGGAGGACCGAACCGACUAAUGUUGAAAAAUUAGCGGAUGACUUGUGGCUGGGGGUGAAAGGCCAAUCAAACCGGGAGAUAGCUGGUUCUCCCCGAAAGCUAUUUAGGUAGCGCCUCGUGAACUCAUCUUCGGGGGUAGAGCACUGUUUCGGCUAGGGGGUCAUCCCGACUUACCAACCCGAUGCAAACUGCGAAUACCGAAGAAUGUUAUCACGGGAGACACACGGCGGGUGCUAACGUCCGUCGUGAAGAGGGAAACAACCCAGACCGCCAGCUAAGGUCCCAAAGUCACAGUUAAGUGGGAAACGAUGUGGGAAGGCUCAGACAGCCAGGAUGUUGGCUUAGAAGCAGCCAUCAUUUAAAGAAAGCGUAAUAGCUCACUGGUCGAGUCGGCCUGCGCGGAAGAUGUAACGGGGCUAAACUGUGCACCGAAGCUGCGGCAGCGACGCUUAUGCGUUGUUGGGUAGGGGAGCGUUCUGUAAGCCUGCGAAGGUGUCCUGUGAGGGAUGCUGGAGGUAUCAGAAGUGCGAAUGCUGACAUAAGUAACGAUAAUGCGGGUGAAAAGCCCGCUCGCCGGAAGACCAAGGGUUCCUGUCCAACGUUAAUCGGGGCAGGGUGAGUCGACCCCUAAGGCGAGGCCGAAAGGCGUAGUCGAUGGGAAACGGGUUAAUAUUCCCGUACUUGGUGUUACUGCGAAGGGGGGACGGAGAAGGCUAUGUUGGCCGGGCGACGGUUGUCCCGGUUUAAGCGUGUAGGCUGGUUUUCCAGGCAAAUCCGGAAAAUCAAG